GGAGGUAAAUAUAGCUAAGGUUAAUUUGGGUAGUUUACUUAAGAAAUCUUUCAAUAACUAUUCUACGAAGCUUCCUAGAAGUUGAAAAACAGCCUUACUUGACAAGCAAGUAAAUAAUCUAGGAUUUCUAAGCAAAAAAUGAAAAUUGGGAAGGAUUGAAGGGCAAAACUUAGCCUAUUUAUGCUGCCCUAAUAGCUUGCCUAUAAAGGCAUUACUAAGGAAAGCUAAUAUCAGAUUUUGGAGAUUGAGGACAAAAUUCAGAAAACCAAAAUGGCUAGAAAUUUCUAUGAAAAUUCACUGUUCCAUUGAUUUCUGGUUUCAUUCUUGAGGUUCUUCUUCUUCUGAAGUUAUCUCUAAUUCAUAUGAGGCUUAGAUUCUGCAUUUUUUAUUUAAAAUAGCCUGAUUUUGGUUUUGAAAAAUUCUGGUGUGAAGCUGUUCUAAUUUUUGAGGUUACUGUUACAUCACUGAGGGUUGAAUUGGUUUAGCUGUCGUUGGUUACUGCUUCCCCACUCCUUUUAGCUUUCCUUUAUUUCCCAGGUACAUUUUUCUUAAACUCUACCCAUCGUGAGGCCUAAUUGAAGAUGGAAAUGAAAAUAAAGUUGAAAGAAUGACAAUAGUUUAAUGUGUAGUAUUUUUACAAAAUGUUUGCCUUAGUUACCUGAUUCAUUGUGUAUGAUAGUUAGUCUCUAUUCUAAUAGUCGAGUUCUUUAAAUUGUAUUUGGUUUGGGACUGUGGAAUGCUAUGUAUAGGACUCAAUCAAGUUUAAUAUGUCUCAAAUGCAUUUUAGCCUUGGAUGAAGUCAGCAGGUGUGCUUGGUAGUAAUUUUGUGUUUGGGAUUGUGCUAACAAGGCUCAAAGGGAAAAAUGAGUAAUGUUUGAUAUGCUGAUAGGAAUUUCUAUGAGGUGUUGGGACAUUAUGGUUUCGUUUUGGAAAUGAAACUGAACAUAUCUGGUUGUCUCAAGAUUUUUGCGAUUUAAUCCUUUACGUUAUGUUGAUGUGAAGUUUAAUUAAGGUUCAAUUUCUAAUCAGUACUUCAAGUUAAUUGAGGGCUUCGAAAUUUGGAGUCAUAUGUUGUAUAGUUCCCCAAGGAUUAGACUUCUAAUUGUUUUCAAAUCAUGACAUUACUAAAGCUUCUUGUAAUUGUCUAUUGAAAGAUGAUUUAAAACUGUUACAUAUAUGUUAGUUCCACGAUUAAUUUUCUGCUGUGCCAAUCCCCGCUUGCACGCUGCAAGAGCUCGAUAUUGAGUCCAAUUUGUGGUUGCUCCAGGACUCCAAAAUUGGGUUAACCGUAAGCCCAGCAUUUCGCAUGUCAAGCCCACAACAAUGGGUAGCUGAACGUGAUUUUUAUCAACGGGUGAGCUUUUACUAGUUCUUUUUUUUUUUGUUAAACCAUUAGCAUAAGUUUGGUGCAAAUAAAUAGGAUCCCCUUACGUUCUUUAAGUAACUAGUCAUGUCCUUUAAAAGAAACUUGAGGCGUGCCGUGCCAAAUAAAUUCUUUAAUUGUAGGGCCCUCGUUUAGUCAAUAUUUAAAAUCCUUAGAGUUCGAGAUGUGUCAUUUAGUAAAUUGUUCAUGCCCUCGCAAAGUUAAAAACACGUAUUUGCUUUAGGCACGUCAUUUUAAUAAUUUACUUUCCUAAAUUCCGGUGCGCGUUUCAUGUGACCCAACUCCAAAUCUCACAACGUAAAUAAAAUGUCUCGGACUGUGGGCACAUUUCUUGUGGCGCGGUCCAAAGAUAUGUUUUAGAUGACGUUGAAAUCUUCUUAAAAAUAAUUAAAAGUGGUUAAUAAGUUUAAAAUGCAUCAUAGGCUAAAACAUGUAUUAAAAUUAUAUAAUAGGCCAAUUUUAAUGAUUUAUGCGACCGUGCUAAAACCACAGAAUCCGGGGGUGCCUAACACCUUCCCGCGAGUUAACAGAAUUCCUUAUUUAGAAUUUCUGGUUCGCAGACUUCAAAAGGAAAGUCAAUAUAUUCCUCGAUUUGGGAUUUAAAAUAAAUCGCUGACUUAGGACACCAGAAAACAAACCAUCUCAAGUGGCGACUUUGAAUAAAAUUGAAUAAAUAAUUCCAUUUUGAAUAAUGUCACUUAAAUUGGAAAAAAAAACUCCCUUAUAUACUAUCAUUCGGGGUGGUGUAGGAAAAAGGAGAUGUGACAGAUAUGUACAAACUCGUGAGAAUGUAAGGAUUUUAUUGGUAUGACUUCUAAUGGAUUUCGAGACGUGGGCUCGAGGGUCGGGUUUGGCCAAUUUUGGGAUUUUUUUAGUUAAUUUGGUUAUUUUCGCGUAGGCUUUUGAUCCUUUAGCAUAUUUUGAUGUUAUGAUUCUAAUUUUAAUAGAUUCGACGCGUGUUGAGGCCAAUUCAAGAGCCAAAGGCAUCGCGGGCUAGAGUUUGGACCGGAUUGAGGUAAGUAAUGAUUGUAAAUGUUGUCCUGAGGGUAUGAAACCCCAUAUUUCACAUCGUUGUGCUAUUUUGAGGUGACACACACGCUAUAUGAUGAGCGUGGGGUCAUGCACCAUUGGAGAUUUUGACUUGGUUCGUCCUGUACGAUUGUUAAGUCGCGUAUUUGAUUGAACACUAUUUAAUAUUAUUGUGUUUUGGAAAAUAUUAAUAUAUGUUUGGGGCUAAUUUCCGUGUUUGGACCUUGUGCCGAUUCUUUGGACCAUUAGGGGCUUUUUACAAUUAUUUUCUCGCUAUUUUGGUAAUAUUUACACUCAGUCAUGCUAUGCUUUCACUUAUUUCAUAACUCGAGUUUUAUUUACUCCUUCUGAUGUUAUAAAUGAUAUUUUGAGAUGAGUACCUGUUUUACUGUUUACCCGAGGGGCUUGAGUGAGUUCUGACUGAGUGCGGCUGAGGGCUUGUGCUGAGAGGAUGUUAGGGGAUUGGGCUGCAUGCCGCAACGUGUUACACUGCUGAGGGUCUGAUUUGUCAUGCCACGAGAUGGCUUGUGACAUCGCUUGGGCUAUAAGAGCCCCUCCGGAGUCUGUAUACCCCUAGUGAAUGUAGGUACCUAGUGUGUGUGAUGUGAUAUUGCCACAGGGACUGUUGUUCUUUCAUGUUGUUGCCUGAGGGACUGAUACGAGUGAUUGUGAGGUAGCUCGAGCGACCGGCUUUGUUGAUAUUAUGCCCGAGGGGCAGUUUAUGGUACUUGUUUUUUCUCAAGGUACUAUUUACGUUUCUAUCCUUUUACUCACUGCUUUCAUCACUCAUUUGUAAAUAUUGAAAAAUAUUUCAAAAGGUUUUACUGAACUGAGUUUUCUUUUACGAGUUUUAUUGUUUUACUGCAUUGUUCCGGACUCAUACUGUUUGUUGUAGCGUUAUGACGUGGUUUAUGUGUUUUCUUAUUGCUCAACUGCUUUUACUUUUAUUACUUAUUGGUGUACUCAUAUUACUCCGUACACCUUGUGUGUAGAUCCAGGAGCCUCGGGUCACGAUAGUGAGUACUGAUUUGCUUUCCAGCGGAUCCUCGAAGUUGACUAGCUAGCUAUUUGGCGUUCGCAGCCUAGUGCUUCUCCUUCCUAUCUUAUUUAGCCUUGUAUUAGCAUUGCUUCCAUACUAUGUUGACCUUUCUUACUCCUAGACGAGAUGUAGUUGCUCAUAACUAGUGACACCCCGGUGUCGGGUUGUGUUAUGUUUUCGCAUUGUCUAAUUUGACUUAUAUUAUGGAAUUUGAGCUAAUUAAUGGCUUUAAAUGACUUGUUAUGAAUUGGUUUGGGGUUUGUGUAGGCUGGCCUAGAUUUACGAUAGGCACCAUCACGACGGGAUCCGUUUUAGGAUUGUGACAAGGUCGAUACACCGUAGGUUACAUAGGUCUCAUUAGUCAUGAGCAUGUUUUGUAGAGUCUCGCGAACCGGUACGAAGUGUAUUUAUCCUCGGGAGGCUACAAAACAUUUAGGAAAACUUUAUAUUCUUGAAUUGAUGUUGUGCGAAUCUGUUGAUUCUAGUACUAAACUUCUGUUAUCCUAUUCUCUAACAG
rnacentral:lncRNA from 1 species